rnacentral:rRNA from 1 species
AUUGAACGCUGGCGGCAUGCCUUACACAUGCAAGUCGAACGGUAACGGGCCUUCGGGUGCCGACGAGUGGCGAACGGGUGAGUAAUACAUCGGAACGUGCCCGAUCGUGGGGGAUAACGAGGCGAAAGCUUUGCUAAUACCGCAUACGAUCUACGGAUGAAAGCAGGGGACCGCAAGGCCUUGCGCGGGCGGAGCGGCCGAUGGCAGAUUAGGUUGUUGGUGGGAUAAAAGCUUACCAAGCCGACGAUCUGUAGCUGGUCUGAGGGGAUGAUCAGCCACACUGGGACUGAGACACGGCCCAGACUCCUACGGGAGGCAGCAGUGGGGAAUUUUGGACAAUGGGCGCAAGCCUGAUCCAGCCAUGCCGCGUGCAGGAUGAAGGCCUUCGGGUUGUAAACUGCUUUUGUACGGAACGAAAAGCCUUCUUUUAAUACAGGAGGGUCAUGACGGUACCGGAAGAAUAAGCACCGGCUAACUACGUG